AAUGGCCUACCGAGGCGAUGACGGGUAGCCGGCCUGAGAGGGUGACCGGCCACACUGGGACUGAGACACGGCCCAGACUCCUACGGGAGGCAGCAGUGGGGAAUAUUGCACAAUGGGCGAAAGCCUGAUGCAGCGACGCCGCGUGAGGGAUGACGGCCUUCGGGUUGUAAACUCCUUUCGAUAGGGAAGAUAAUGACGGUACCUAUAGAAGAAGCCCCGGCUAACUUCGUGCCAGCAGCCGCGGUAAUACGAGGGGGGCAAGCGUUGUUCGGAAUUAUUGGGCGUAAAGGGUGCGUAGGCGGUUUGACAAGUCUCAUGUAAAAUACUACGGGCUCAACCCGAAGUCUGCAUGGGAAACUGUCGGGCUUGAGUAUUGGAGAGGUGAGUGGAAUUUCCGGUGUAGCGGUGAAAUG
rnacentral:rRNA from 1 species